ACGCUCGACACCUACGGGGAGGCAGCAGGUGGGGAAUAUUGCACAAUGGGGGAAACCCUGAUGCAGCGACGCCGCGUGGAGGAAGAAGGUCUUCGGAUUGUAAACUCCUGUUGUUGGGGAAAAAGAGGAUUGGUACCCAACAAGGAAGUGACGGCUAACUACGUACCAGCAGCCGCGGUAAUCUGAGCGGGCUGGCAAGGC
rnacentral:rRNA from 1 species